rnacentral:rRNA from 1 species
GGACGAAUGCUGGCGGCGUGCUUAACACAUGCAAGUCGAACGGAAAGGCCCUGCUUUUGUGGGGUGCUCGAGUGGCGAACGGGUGAGUAACACGUGAGUAACCUGCCCUUGACUUUGGGAUAACUUCAGGAAACUGGGGCUAAUACCGGAUAGGAGCUCCUGCUGCAUGGUGGGGGUUGGAAAGUUUCGGCGGUUGGGGAUGGACUCGCGGCUUAUCAGCUUGUUGGUGGGGUAGUGGCUUACCAAGGCUUUGACGGGUAGCCGGCCUGAGAGGGUGACCGGCCACAUUGGGACUGAGAUACGGCCCAGACUCCUACGGGAGGCAGCAGUGGGGAAUAUUGCACAAUGGGCGGAAGCCUGAUGCAGCAACGCCGCGUGCGGGAUGACGGCCUUCGGGUUGUAAACCGCUUUCGCCUGUGACGAAGCGUGAGUGACGGUAAUGGGUAAAGAAGCACCGGCUAACUACGUG